GACGAACGCUGGCGGCGUGCUUAUCACAUGCAAGUCGAACGGAAAGGCCCUGCUUUUGUGGGGUGCUCGAGUGGCGAACGGGUGAGUAACACGUGAGUAACCUGCCCUUGACUUUGGGAUAACUUCAGGAAACUGGGGCUAAUACCGGAUAGGAGCUCCUGCUGCAUGGUGGGGGUUGGAAAGUUUCGGCGGUUGGGGAUGGACUCGCGGCUUAUCAGCUUGUUGGUGGGGUAGUGGCUUACCAAGGCUUUGACGGGUAGCCGGCCUGAGAGGGUGACCGGCCACAUUGGGACUGAGAUACGGCCCAGACUCCUACGGGAGGCAGCAGUGGGGAAUAUUGCACAAUGGGCGGAAGCCUGAUGCAGCAACGCCGCGUGCGGGAUGACGGCCUUCGGGUUGUAAACCGCUUUCGCCUGUGACGAAGCGUGAGUGACGGUAAUGGGUAAAGAAGCACCGGCUAACUACGUGCCAGCAGCCGCGGUGAUACGUAGGGUGCGAGCGUUGUCCGGAUUUAUUGGGCGUAAAGGGCUCGUAGGUGGUUGAUCGCGUCGGAAGUGUAAUCUUGGGGCUUAACCCUGAGCGUGCUUUCGAUACGGGUUGACUUGAGGAAGGUAGGGGAGAAUGGAAUUCCUGGUGGAGCGGUGGAAUGCGCAGAUAUCAGGAGGAACACCAGUGGCGAAGGCGGUUCUCUAGGCCUUUCCUGACGCUGAGGAGCGAAAGCGUGGGGAGCGAACAGGCUUAGAUACCCUGGUAGUCCACGCUGUAAACGGUGGGUACUAGGUGUGGGGUCCAUUCCACGGGUUCCGUGCCGUAGCUAACGCUUUAAGUACCCCGCCUGGGGAGUACGGCCGCAAGGCUAAAACUCAAAGGAAUUGACGGGGCCCCGCACAAGCGGCGGAGCAUGCGGAUUAAUUCGAUGCAACGCGUAGAACCUUACCUGGGUUUGACAUGGAUCGGGAGUGCUCAGAGAUGGGUGUGCCUCUUUUGGGGUCGGUUCACAGGUGGUGCAUGGCUGUCGUCAGCUCGUGUCGUGAGAUGUUGGGUUAAGUCCCGCAACGAGCGCAACCCUUGUUCACUGUUGCCAGCACGUUAUGGUGGGGACUCAGUGGAGACCGCCGGGGUCAACUCGGAGGAAGGUGGGGAUGACGUCAAGUCAUCAUGCCCCUUAUGUCCAGGGCUUCACGCAUGCUACAAUGGCUGGUACAGAGAGUGGCGAGCCUGUGAGGGUGAGCGAAUCUCGGAAAGCCGGUCUCAGUUCGGAUUGGGGUCUGCAACUCGACCUCAUGAAGUCGGAGUCGCUAGUAAUCGCAGAUCAGCAACGCUGCGGUGAAUACGUUCCCGGGGCU
rnacentral:rRNA from 1 species